rnacentral:lncRNA from 1 species
GGGUUGCUGUCAGGUAUUUUGGUGGCCAAGCUCCAGUUGCAAAGAACCAAAUGAAGCUACGUGGUUGAUAAGGGAAGUGAAGAGCAAAUGGGAAGGAGGAACAGUUAGGACUUUCUGUACAAAAUGUUUGAUUGCCAUGUAAGGCACAGAAGAAGCACACAACAACAGAGUUCUUGAGGUGGGAAUGCCAACUGCCAGCUCUGAAUCCCUUGUUGGGAUCAUACAACUGGAUCAGCAGCAUGGAAAGAUUGGGAACAGUGUGGAGGUGACAGGAGCUUCCAACCCGCUCUGCUCCCAAGAAGAGAUGGGGGAGGUCAAGGCACCCAGAAGAGGUGCUGGAGAUGAGGCAAAAGGAGAGAGACACAUCCUAGGAGAAGUCCCAGCCUCUCAGAGUCCAUGGAAUACUUCCCACAGAAGGGCAUGAGGCAGCAGCCAAGAAGGAAAUAAGACAGCCAACAGUAGUAGGAUAGACUUAAAUGACUGGUCGUAGCUGGACUGCGAUCUUCUUUGCCCCUAGAGAAGGAAUGCAAGAAAAACAUAGUUUAUACCCUUCACCAAAACUAAAGUGGUCAGUCACAGACAUAGGGCCUCAGCUCAGAAGCUGGAAUCUUCUCUGCCUUAGCUCCUCAACCUGCAGAAAUGGAUCAAGAAUAUCUGCUUGAUUUCUCCCACCCAGGAUUCUCUCUUGGGAAGGUUCUAACCCCUAGAGUUGCACCAUGAAUUUUCCAAAGAACAUAAAAAUCCAGACACUGGUCUCUUGGAAGAUUAGCCUGUUUGAGUGCAGAAACUGGUGUUGUCAGUGACAAAACCACGUCUCUCUAUUUGUGUUCUAGGGAAACUUUAAAAGUAGGGUAUCCAAAUCUGGGCUCAGGUUGUUUGCUAGUUCUCAACCAGAAGCUAACCAGUCCUUUCCCCUUCACUUCCCACCCCCAACUUUGUGCCCUUCUUGAAGUCAUCCUCACUUCCACCAGCCCAAAGUGACCUGGCUUCUUUUCCCACUUAGUUUGGACACAUUUUUCUCCCCACCUUCCCCUUAUUCCCUAUCUUUUUUGUGCUUAAUUUAUUAAAAUAGUUACUGUAUAAUUUAUUUUCAUAAACUAUUAAAAUGUACUAAAUGGUUAAAAAUAAACUUGCAGGCCAAUCUUUAAGUGGGGAAGAG